GCCAGAAGCAACAUAGUUAACAGCAUCAUCAUUUCUUAAUUAGCAAAUAUGGACUAACAACAAACUUAUUACAUUUUCAAUAAGGGGAAUGAUAUCCAAUCUUCCCUCUACUUUUUGAACCAAUAAUACAAAUCAGAACAAAGUAAACUUUUUUACAAAUACUGUUUAAUAACCAAGAAAAGAAGAAACAAAGAACUUUCGAAACUUCGUGAAGCAAAUAAUGAAGAACAGAUAUUAAUACAUAAGCAGCACAUUGCACACGCUAGGAUUGCUGUGAAGAGUCACUUGAACUUGGAGGAUACCCAAUUCCAUGGCGCUUGUUAGGGAAGAGCAUGAAGACAGAGCCUGAGAUUACGCCAAUAACUGGAGGCAACAUCAUGAGCAGAGUCUUCUCAGAGGACUCAAAAGAAGGGUAAAAACAUUCCACUGUAUUAGUAUCCAAAAGAGACAACACAGCAAAUACAAUCAGUGAAAAGAAAGCAUGAACAAAGUCACUAAAUUGAAGCUUAUAUCUUGACAAGUCCACUGAUCCAGAAUUUGUAGAUGGCCAUAGUCCCUUCACAGUUACAAUCCCAUAGUGAGUAAUUCCAUCACUGCCAACAUAACUAUCAGUGAAAGAAGAGAAUGCACAAGAAAACCCACAAAGCCCUAUGAGGAUCCCACUAAGGUACUUGUUAAUGGUGUGGCAAUGACCAUUGUUGGUCAAGACAGGGUUAAGGAAUUGGAAAACGAAGACUGUUCCUGUAGGGAGGAGCUUGAUGAGGUUGCCAAAUCCUGUAAAUGUAAUGUCUUGGAUUGAUUUCUUGGCGCUAUCUUUGGCCAUUGGAGUCUAUUUUAGUCUACACUAAAGGGCUGAUUAUAGAGAGAGCUAUACAAAAUAUUUUCCUGAGUUUUGGUUUGAUGGU
rnacentral:misc_RNA from 1 species